AUUGAACGCUGGCGGCAGGCCUAACACAUGCAAGUCGAGCGGAUGAAGGGAGCUGGUUCCUGGAUUCCUCGGCGGACGCGGGAGUAAUGGCUAGGAAUCUGCCAGGUAGUGGGGGAUAACGUUCGGUAACGGACGCGAAUGCCGCAACCGCCCUGCGUGGGAAGGUGAGGGAGGUUGAGACUUCGCGCUAUCAGCUUAGCCUAGGUCGGAUUAGCUAUUUGGUGGGGUAACGGCUCACCCAGGCGACGAUCCGUAACUGGUCUGAGAGGAUGAGCAGUCACACUGGAACUGAGACACGGUCCAGACUCCUACGGGAGGCAGCAGUGGGGAAUAUUGGACAAUGGGCGCAAGCCUGAUGCAGCCAUGCCGCGUGUAUGAAGAAGGCCUUCGGGUUGUAAAGUACUUUAAGCUGGGAGGAAGGGCAGUAAGUUAAUACCUUGCUGUAUUGACGUUACCAACAGAAUAAGCACCGGCUAACUUCGUG
rnacentral:rRNA from 1 species